rnacentral:rRNA from 1 species
CCUGGACCCGAAGCGGGAUGAUCUAGCCCUGGGCAGGUUGAAGCGCGGGUAAGACCGCGUGGAGGACCGAACCCACCUGGGUUGAAAACCGGGGGGAUGACCUGGGGCUAGGGGUGAAAGGCCAAUCAAAUUCCGUGAUAGCUGGUUCUCUCCGAAAUGCAUUUAGGUGCAGCGUCGGUCGAUUGCGUCGCGGGGGUAGAGCUACCGGAUGCUUGCGGGCCCUUGUUGGGUACCAACAGCAGCCGAACUCCGAAUACCGUUGACGUGUAUUCCGGCAGUGAGUCGGCGGGGGAUAAGCUCCGUCGUCGAGAGGGAGACAGCCCAGACCGUCGUCUAAGGUCCCGAAGCGUGUGCUAAGUGGGAAAGGAUGUGGAGUCGCAUAGACAGCCAGGAGGUUGGCUCAGAAGCAGCCAUCCUUGAAAGAGUGCGUAACAGCUCACUGGUCUAGUGGUUCCGCGCCGACAAUGUAGCGGGGCUCAAGCACACCACCGAAGACGCGGCAGCAAUCUUCAUGGUUGCUGGGUAGGAGAGCGUCCUGCGAGGGGCGAAGCGGCCGGGUGACCGUGCCGUGGACUUCGUGGGAGUGAGAAUGCAGACAUGAGUAGCGAGAGACGGGUGAGGAUCCCGUCCGCUGGAUGACCAAGGGUUCCGGGGCCACGUUCGUCGUCCCCGGGUGAGUCGGGUCCUAAGGCGAGGCCGACAGGCGUAGUCGAAUGGAUGAACGGGUGGAUAUUCCCGUACCGACCAUGGACCGGCAAAACCGAGACGGUGAGUACUAACCUCCGCCUCGUGGUGGUUCCUUCCUUCGGGUUGGUUCCGCCGCGUGGUGUUGGGAGCGUAGCCGUAGUAGGUCAGCGCAGGGGUGACACGGAAUGGGAGCCGGCCGCGGAGGUGGUUUUCCGUGGUCAAGCACGCAGCCAGUCAUGUAGGCAAAUCCGCAUGGCGCGCAUGGCGAGGUGUGAUGAUGGGAGCCGUUAUGGCUCGAUAUCCGGUUGUCCAGGCCGUCGAGAAAAGCCUCGGCGUGAGGGCCAUGGCCGCCCGUACCCCAAACCGACACUGGUGGUCAGGUAGAGAAUACCAAGGCGAUCGAGCGAAUCCUGGUCAAGGAACUCGGCAAAUCACUCCCGUGCCUUCGGUAUAAGGGAGACCCGCUGGGGUGAAGGACCUUGCGUCCGGAGCUUUGGUGGGUGGCACAGACCAGGGGGUAGCGACUGUUUACCAAAAACACAGGUGCAUGCGAAGGCGAAAGCCGCUGUAUAUGCACUGACGCCUGCCCGGUGCCGGAAGGUUAAGAGGAUCCGUCAACUCUUCGGAGCGAAGCGGUGAAUUCAAGCCCCGGUAAACGGCGGUGGUAACUAUAACCAUCCUAAGGUAGCGAAAUUCCUUGUCGGGUAAGUUCCGACCUGCACGAAUGGCGUAACGACUUCCCCACUGUCUCGACCAGGAGCUCGGCGAAAUUGCAGUACGAGUAAAGAUGCUCGUUAAGCGCAGAAGGACGAAAAGACCCCGGGACCUUUACUAUACCUUGGUAUUGGCGUUAGGCGCGGAUUGUGUAGCAUAGGCGGGAGGCUUCGAAGCGUGGGCGCCAGCUCAUGUGGAGCCGCAAGGUGAAAUACCGCUCUGUUCUCGUUUGACGUCUAACCUCGACAAGUCAUCCUUGUCAGGGACAGUGCCUGGCGGGUAGUUCAACUGGGGCGGUUGCCUCCCAAAGAGUAACGGAGGCGCUCAAAGGUCCGCUCAGCCCGGUUGGCAAUCGGGUGUCGAGUGUAAUCGCACAAGCGGGCUUGACUGCGAGGACGACGGUCCGAGCAGGGACGAAAGUCGGAGAUAGUGAUCCGGUGCCGGCGCACGGGCGCGGCAUCGCUCAACGGAUAAAAGGUACCCCGGGGAUAACAGGCUGAUCAUUCCCAAGAGUCCAUAUCGACGGGAUGGUUUGGCACCUCGAUGUCGGCUCGUCGCAUCCUGGGGCUGGAGCAGGUCCCAAGGGUUCGGCUGUUCGCCGAUUAAAGCGGCACGCGAGCUGGGUUCAGAACGUCGUGAGACAGUUUGGUCUCUAUCCUCUGCGCUCGUUGGAAUCCUGAGGAGGCCUGCCCAUAGUACGAGAGGACCUGGGUGGACGAACCUCUGGUAUGCCGGUUGUCGCGCCAGCGGCACGGCCGGUUGGCUACGUUCGG